rnacentral:rRNA from 1 species
GACGUAGGGCGCGAGCGUUGUCCGGAUUUAUUGGGCGUAAAGAGCGUGUAGGCGGCCUUACAGGUCAGCUGUGAAAACUCGAGGCUCAACCUCGAGACGUCGGUUGAAACCGUAAGGCUAGAGUCCGGAAGAGGAGAGUGGAAUUCCCGGUGUAGCGGUGAAAUGCGCAGAUAUCGGGAAGAACACCCGUGGCGAAGGCGGCUCUCUGGGACGGUACUGACGCUGAGACGGCGAAAGCGUGGGGAGCGAACAGG